rnacentral:rRNA from 1 species
UACGUAGGUGGCAAGCGUUGUCCGGAAUUAUUGGGCGUAAAGCGCGCGCAGGCGGUCCUUUAAGUCUGACGUGAAAGCCCACGGCUCAACCGUGGAGGGUCAUUGGAAACUGGGGGACUUGAGUGCAGAAGAGGAAAGCGGAAUUCCACGUGUAGCGGUGAAAUGCGUAGAGAUGUGGAGGAACACCAGUGGCGAAGGCGGCUUUCUGGUCUGUAACUGACGCUGAGGCGCGAAAGCGUGGGGAGCAAACAGG